GAGGGGUUCCACACGUACCCAUCCCGAACACGACCGUUAAGCCCUCCAGCGCCGAUGGUACUUGGACCGAAGGGUCCUGGGAGAGUAGGACGCCGCCAAGC
rnacentral:rRNA from 1 species